CUACCAUGCAGUCGAGCGGAGUGAUGGUGCUUGCACUAUCACUUAGCGGCGGACGGGUGAGUAAUGCUUAGGAAUCUGCCUAUUAGUGGGGGACAACAUUUCGAAAGGAAUGCUAAUACCGCAUACGUCCUACGGGAGAAAGCAGGGGAUCUUCGGACCUUGCGCUAAUAGAUGAGCCUAAGUCGGAUUAGCUAGUUGGUGGGGUAAAGGCCUACCAAGGCGACGAUCUGUAGCGGGUCUGAGAGGAUGAUCCGCCACACUGGGACUGAGACACGGCCCAGACUCCUACGGGAGGCAGCAGUGGGGAAUAUUGGACAAUGGGCGCAAGCCUGAUCCAGCCAUGCCGCGUGUGUGAAGAAGGCCUUAUGGUUGUAAAGCACUUUAAGCGAGGAGGAGGCUACUGAAGUUAAUACCUUCAGAUAGUGGACGUUACUCGCAGAAUAAGCACCGGCUAACUCUGUGCCAGCAGCCGCGGUAAUACAGAGGGUGCAAGCGUUAAUCGGAUUUACUGGGCGUAAAGCGCGCGUAGGCGGCUAAUUAAGUCAAAUGUGAAAUCCCCGAGCUUAACUUGGGAAUUGCAUUCGAUACUGGUUAGCUAGAGUGUGGGAGAGGAUGGUAGAAUUCCAGGUGUAGCGGUGAAAUGCGUAGAGAUCUGGAGGAAUACCGAUGGCGAAGGCAGCCAUCUGGCCUAACACUGACGCUGAGGUGCGAAAGCAUGGGGAGCAAACAGGAUUAGAUACCCUGGUAGUCCAUGCCGUAAACGAUGUCUACUAGCCGUUGGGGCCUUUGAGGCUUUAGUGGCGCAGCUAACGCGAUAAGUAGACCGCCUGGGGAGUACGGUCGCAAGACUAAAACUCAAAUGAAUUGACGGGGGCCCGCACAAGCGGUGGAGCAUGUGGUUUAAUUCGAUGCAACGCGAANAACCUUACCUGGCCUUGACAUANUANGAACUUCCANANAUGGAUUGGUGCNUUCNGGANCUUACAUACAGGGUGCUGCAUGGCUGUCCUCNCCUCNUGUCCNGAAAUNUUGGUUAAAUCCCCAACGAAGCGCANCCUUUUCNUUUUUC
rnacentral:rRNA from 1 species